rnacentral:rRNA from 1 species
AUGGGCGCCGAGGUGGAGGUCGUGGCCAGGGUGGCGCCGCCGAGGGCGCCGGGCAAGAAGAGGACCUCCACCACGCUGCUGCACCUGCUUCAGCUCGACAACCCCGACGGCGUCUUCGUCUUCGCCGCGGCGGCCAACAAGCUGCCGCCGCCGGAGCCGGAGCCCGAGGCCGAGAGCCUCAUCGACAAGAUCGCCUCCUGCUGCCGGGUCUUCACGUUCGCGGACGACGACGCCGCCGAGCGGGACGCCAAGCUGGAGCGGCUCGAGGAGGUGCUCGCCGCGGUGCGCUCCAGCGGCAAGAACCAGCCGCCCGGGCUGGACCACCUCGUCAUGGUCGCGCUGGUCAAGAUGUUCGCCGCCAACCUGUUCCGCACGAUGCCGCCGCCGGCAACGUGCCCGUCGGUGCUCGCCGAGGCGGCGGACGAGGAGGCCCCCUCGGCGUCCCUGCUCCCGUCGUGGCCGCACCUCCAGGCGGUCUACGACGUGCUCCUCGCCGUCAUCGCCGCGGCCGACGCCAAGGCCCUCCGCAACCACAUCGACCGCCCCUUCCUCACGGCGCUGCUGGCGCUGUUCGCCUCCGAGGAUCCCCGCGAGCGCGACCGUCUCAAGACCGCGUACCACCAGCUCUACGCCAAGCUGACCCCGGAGCGCGCCUUCAUGCGCCGCUCCAUGGCCGCCGCCCUGCUGGCCUCCGUCCACGAGUGCGGCGGCGGCGUGGCGGAGCUGCUGGAGAUCUGCGGCAGCAUCAUCAACGGCUUCGCGGUGCCGCUCAAGGAGGAGCACCGCGGGUUCCUGCUCCGGGUGCUGCUGCCGCUGCACCGCGCGCGCUGGCUGCACGCCUACCACCGCCAGCUCGUCUACUGCGUGCUGCAGUUCGUGCACAAGGAGCCGGGGCUGGCCGGCGCCGUCGUGGGGGGCAUCCUCCGGCGGUGGCCCGUGACCAACUGCCAGAAGGAGGUGCUGCUCAUCGACGAGCUGGAGGAGAUCGUGGACGCCCUGGACCAGCGCCAGUUCGACGCCCUCGCCGCGCCCAUCUGCUCCCGGAUCGCCCGCUGCGCCACCAGCUGCAGCUCCCAGGUGGCGGAGCGGGCGCUGUACGUGUGGAACAACGAGCGGUUCCUGGAGAUGGCGUCGGCCGGCGGCGCCAUGGAGCGCAUCCUGCCGCCCUUCGUCGCCAGCGUGGAGGACAACCUGGAGCGCCACUGGAGCAAGUGCGUGCAGCAGGUCACCGCCAGCGUCAAGGCGCUGCUCCUGCAGGUGGCGCCGGACCUCUACGACCGCUGCGCCGCCGACCUCGCCGCCAGCCGCGCCGAGGCGGACGCCCGGGCCGCCGCGCGCGACGCACGGUGGCAUAGGCUCGAGGCGGCCGCCGAGGCCAACGCCGACGCUGACCUGAGCAGUAGCUAA